CGACAUGUGCCGCUAAGCACUGCUGUACUAAACGCAGCGCCACUUUUGCGUCAUGAAGCGGAUAAGUGGUUAACUACGCUCCAGACGGGUCGGUCGUGUAUGUCAUUCUCU
rnacentral:lncRNA from 1 species